AACGAACGCUGGCGGCAGGCCUUACACAUGCAAGUCGAGCGAGGACUUCGGUCCUAGCGGCGGACGGGUGAGUAACGCGUGGGAACGUGCCCUUUGCUUCGGAAUAGCCCUGGGAAACUGGGAGUAAUACCGGAUGAGCCCUUUGGGGGAAAGAUUUAUCGGCGAAGGAUCGGCCCGCGUUGGAUUAGGUAGUUGGUGGGGUAAUGGCCUACCAAGCCGACGAUCCAUAGCUGGUUUGAGAGGAUGAUCAGCCACACUGGGACUGAGACACGGCCCAGACUCCUACGGGAGGCAGCAGUGGGGAAUCUUAGACAAUGGGGGAAACCCUGAUCUAGCCAUGCCGCGUGAGCGAUGAAGGCCUUAGGGUUGUAAAGCUCUUUCAGCUGGGAAGAUAAUGACGGUACCAGCAGAAGAAGCCCCGGCUAACUCCGUG
rnacentral:rRNA from 1 species